UGGGGAAUAUUGGGCAAUGGGCGCAAGCCUGACCCAGCAACGCCGCGUGAAGGAAGAAGGCUUUCGGGUUGUAAACUUCUUUUGUCAGGGACGAAGCAAGUGACGGUACCUGACGAAUAAGCUCCGGCUAACUACGUGCCAGCAGCCGCGGUAAUACGUAGGGAGCAAGCGUUAUCCGGAUUUACUGGGUGUAAAGGGCGUGUAGGCGGGAUUGUAAGUCAGAUGUGAAAACCAGGGGCUCAACCUCUGGCCUGCAUUUGAAACUGCAGUUCUUGAGUACUGGAGAGGCAGACGGAAUUCCUAGUGUAGCGGUGAAAUGCGUAGAUAUUAGGAGGAACACCAGUGGCGAAGGCGGUCUGCUGGACAGCAACUGACGCUGAGGCGCGAAAGCGUGGGGAGCAAACA
rnacentral:rRNA from 1 species